rnacentral:lncRNA from 1 species
AGAGCACUGCUGCGGCCGCCGCCAUUUUAGCGUUUUGUCAGAAGCGUCCGCGCCGCGAGGAGGAGGCCCUGCUGGUUUCUGUGCGGGUGGGAUGUGUGUGGGCUGAAAUUCCGAGCUGCGGUUGUGCAUGAGAAUACACCCUUCGUGGUACCCCAUCUCCGGGACGUUCUCGGCUCUGUGCGUUCAGUCCCUCAGGAACCGUGGACCUUAAUUUACCUUGCUAAGUUCAGACCUUCUCUUCCUUUCCUUUCCUUUCCUCUCCUGCCCAUUUUCCUGUUCUUCUGUCCUUCAAUACUUCUGUAGCUUCCCAUUCAUGUUCUCUUCUCCCAGCAGGCCUCAUUGUGUGCAGAAACUGUGGUGGGGGCUGUGCUGUCUCCUCCCUGCCUCCUGCCUCCUGCGGCUGUUGGAUUUGGGAAUGACCUUGGUGAGAGUCUCACUGCUCCAGGGUCUCUUUUUGGUCCAAAGGCUAGACCUAUAGAGUUGGAUCACUUUUUUUCUUUCCGGUGAAAUAAAUGGUUUUUCAACUUAG